GAUGAACGCUGGCGGCGUGCCUAAUACAUGCAAGUCGAGCGAACGGACGAGAAGCUUGCUUUUCUGAUGUUAGCGGCGGACGGGUGAGUAACACGUGGAUAACCUACCUAUAAGACUGGGAUAACUUCGGGAAACCGGAGCUAAUACCGGAUAAUAUUUUGAACCGCAUGGUUCAAAAGUGAAAGACGGUCUUGCUGUCACUUAUAGAUGGAUCCGCGCUGCAUUAGCUAGUUGGUAAGGUAACGGCUUACCAAGGCAACGAUGCAUAGCCGACCUGAGAGGGUGAUCGACCACACUGGAACUGAGACACGUUCCAGACUCCUACGGGAGGCAGCAGUAGGGAAUCUUCCGCAAUGGGCGAAAGCCUGACGGAGCAACGCCGCGUGAGUGAUGAAGGUCUUCGGAUCGUAAAACUCUGUUAUUAGGGAAGAACAUAUGUGCAAGUAACUGUGCACAUCUUGACGGUACCUAAUCAGAAAGCCACGGCUAACUACGUG
rnacentral:rRNA from 1 species